UCGGUUGUUAACACUGAGGCGUGACGACGAGCCACUACGGUGGUGAAGUGAUUGAUGCUCUGCUUCCGGGAAAAGCCUCUAAGCUCCAGGUUACCAUUAAUCGUACCCCAAACCGACACAGGUGGUCAGGUAGAGAAUACUCAGGCGCUUGAGAGAACUCGGGUGAAGGAACUAGGCAAAAUGGUGCCGUAACUUCGGGAGAAGGCACGCUGGCAUUAGGUGAAGUGGUUUACCCAUGGAGCUGAAGCCAGCCGCAGAUACCAGCUGGCUGCAACUGUUUAUUAAAAACACAGCACUGUGCAAACACGAAAGUGGACGUAUACGGUGUGACGCCUGCCCGGUGCCGGAAGGUUAAUUGAUGAGGUUAGCGUAAGCGAAGCUUCUGAUCGAAGCCCCGGUAAACGGCGGCCGUAACUAUAACGGUCCUAAGGUAGCGAAAUUCCUUGUCGGGUAAGUUCCGACCUGCACGAAUGGCGUAAUGAUGGCCAGGCUGUCUCCACCCGAGACUCAGUGAAAUUGAACUCGCUGUGAAGAUGCAGUGUACCCGCGGCAAGACGGAAAGACCCCGUGAACCUUUACUAUAGCUUGACACUGAACAUUGAGCCUUGAUGUGUAGGAUAGGUGGGAGGCAACGAAGCGUGGACGCCAGUCUGCGCGGAGCCAUCCUUGAAAUACCACCCUUUAACGUUUGAUGUUCUAACCCGGGUCCAUAAUCUGGAUCGGGGACCGUGUCUGGUGGGUAGUUUGACUGGGGCGGUCUCCUCCCAAAGAGUAACGGAGGAGCACGAAGGUUGGCUAAGCAUGGUCGGACAUCAUGCGGUUAGUGCAAAGGCAUAAGCCAGCUUGACUGCGAGAGUGACGGCUCGAGCAGGUACGAAAGUAGGUCUUAGUGAUCCGGUGGUUCUGAAUGGAAGGGCCAUCGCUCAACGGAUAAAAGGUACUCCGGGGAUAACAGGCUGAUACCGCCCAAGAGUUCAUAUCGACGGCGGUGUUUGGCACCUCGAUGUCGGCUCAUCACAUCCUGGGGCUGAAGUAGGUCCCAAGGGUAUGGCUGUUCGCCAUUUAAAGUGGUACGCGAGCUGGGUUUAGAACGUCGUGAGACAGUUCGGUCCCUAUCUGCCGUGGGCGCUGGAAGAUUGAGAGGGGUUGCUCCUAGUACGAGAGGACCGGAGUGAACGCACCACUGGUGUACGGGUUGUGAUGCCAAUUGCAUUGCCCGGUAGCUAAGUGCGGAAGAGAUAACCGCUGAAAGCAUCUAAGCGGGAAACUUGCCUCGAGAUGAGUCUUCCCUGACCCUUUAAGGGUCCUGAAGGAACGUUUGAGACUAAGACGUUGAUAGGCUGGGUGUGUAAGCGCAGCGAUGCGUUGAG
rnacentral:rRNA from 1 species